CCUACGGGAGGCAGCAGUGGGGAAUUUUGGACAAUGGGCGAAAGCCUGAUCCAGCAAUGCCGCGUGAGUGAAGAAGGCCUUCGGGUUGUAAAGCUCUUUUGUCAGGGAAGAAACGGUGUUUUCUAAUACAGAAUGCUAAUGACGGUACCUGAAGAAUAAGCACCGGCUAACUACGUGCCAGCAGCCGCGGUAAUACGUAGGGUGCAAGCGUUAAUCGGAAUUACUGGGCGUAAAGCGUGCGCAGGCGGUUUUGUAAGUCUGACGUGAAAUCCCCGGGCUCAACCUGGGAAUUGCGUUGGAGACUGCAAGGCUAGAGUUUGGCAGAGGGGGGUAGAAUUCCACGUGUAGCAGUGAAAUGCGUAGAUAUGUGGAGGAACACCGAUGGCGAAGGCAGCCCCCUGGGUCAAGACUGACGCUCAUGCACGAAAGCGUGGGGAGCAAACAGGAUUAGAUACCCUGGUAGUCCACGCCCUAAACGAUGUCUACUAGUUGUCGGGUCUUAAUUGACUUGGUAACGCAGCUAACGCGUGAAGUAGACCGCCUGGGGAGUACGGUCGCAAGAUUAAAACUCAAUGAAUUGACGG
rnacentral:rRNA from 1 species